rnacentral:rRNA from 2 species
AUCGCGUCGCCCCCCACAAUUCUCCGUAAAGGGAACAUGUGUUUUGGGGGCGGAUAUUGGUCUCCCGUGCUCAUGGCGUGGUUGGCCGAAAUAGGAGUCCUUUCGAUGGACGCACGAACUAGUGGUGGUCGUAAAAACCCUCGUCUUUUGUUUCGUGCUGUUGCUCGCAAGGUAAACUCUUUAAAAACCCCAAUGUGCCGUCUCUUGACGACGCUUCGACC